CCCGGCGGGGAGCCCGGAGUUGCCGCCGCCGCCGCCGCGCCCGUUCCGCUCGGCACCGUCGCUGCCGCCGCCCCGCGCACUCACACACAAAAUGUUUCUGUUUUCACCCGGAGUGAGCCGUCCCCCUCGUUCGGGUGUGCUUAGGCGCGGACUGUACUGGGCUGUACGCAACUGACCUGUAGCUCUUGAGACAGAGGCAAGCGUCGUGAUGCAGCUGAAGUCUGCACGGUGGUGCAAGACAAACUUUUCUGAGAAGUGCCAGUUUGGCUUUGAAAUACUACUAGCAAAAAUCCUGACAUUCCGCCAGUAGAAUUAGCUGUAUCUUAUUUACAUACUACUAAUUAAAUAAGAGAGAUCACA